GCCAUAUCACAUUGAAACACUAGUUCCUAUAUGAUCACUGAAGUUAAGCAACAUCAAGCAUAGUCAGUACCUAGAUGGGUAACUGCUUGGAAAUAUCUGGUGCUGUA